rnacentral:misc_RNA from 1 species
GUUCAAAAUAGGUACGGAAAUGGAGAAGGACUCUAAAGUUGUGCCUUGUGAUGCGUGGAGAAUGGACGGUGGAGGAUUUGCAUGGAAACUAGACGUCAAAGCUGCUCUCACUUUAGCUCCUUUGCUUCAAGAAGAUUUUGAUUGAAAUUUUCAGGUGAAACCAGAGUUGGGACUAUGAAAGUGUAAAUAAAUAGGUGAUUAAAUAUGUAAUAAAGGAGGAGGUAAUAGCUGUGUGCAUUAUGGGUCGUCACCAAGUAACCAAGCCAGACACACUUGGAUGGAAUGAUCGCUCAAUGCAAAGAAAUGAAACAAAUUAUAAACUACUACUAGUAACUACUACUAGUAGGUCAAGUUGCACUACUUAAAUUGACUCAAA